GACGAACGCUGGCGGCGUGCUUAACACAUGCAAGUCGAGCGGUAAGGCCCUUUCGGGGGUACACGAGCGGCGAACGGGUGAGUAACACGUGGGUGACCUGCCCUCAGCUCUGGGAUAAGCCCGGGAAACUGGGUCUAAUACCGGAUAUGACUCCAUGACGCAUGUUGUGGGGUGGAAAGCCUUGUGCGGCUGAGGAUGGGCCCGCGGCCUAUCAGCUUGUUGGUGGGGUGAUGGCCACCAAGGCGACGACGGGUAGCCGGCCUGAGAGGGCGACCGGCCACACUGGGACUGAGACGCGGCCCAGACUCCUACGGGAGGCAGCAGUGGGGAAUCUUGCGCAAUGGGCGAAAGCCUGACGCAGCGACGCCGCGUGAGGGAUGACGGCCUCGG
rnacentral:rRNA from 1 species